rnacentral:rRNA from 1 species
AACGAACGCUGGCGGCAUGCCUAACACAUGCAAGUCGAACGAGACCUUCGGGUCUAGUGGCGCACGGGUGCGUAACGCGUGGGAACCUGCCCUUAGGUUCGGAAUAACUCCCCGAAAGGGGUGCUAAUACCGGAUAAUUUCUUCGGACCAAGGAUUUAUCGCCUUUGGAUGGGCCCGCGUUGGAUUAGCUAGUUGGUAGGGUAAAAGCCUACCAAGGCGACGAUCCAUAGCUGGUCUGAGAGGAUGAUCAGCCACACUGGGACUGAGACACGGCCCAGACUCCUACGGGAGGCAGCAGUGGGGAAUAUUGGACAACGGGCGAAAGCCUGAUCCAGCAAUGCCGCGUGAGUGAUGAAGGCCUUAGGGUUGUAAAGCUCUUUUACCCGGGAUGAUAAUGACAGUACCGGGAGAAUAAGCGCCGGCUAACUCCGUG